GACGAACGCUGGCGGCGUGCUUAACACAUGCAAGUCGAACGGAGAACGAGGGAGCUUGCUCCCUCCGCAUCAGUGGCGAACGGGUGAGUAACACGUGAGCAAUCUGCCUCGAACUCUGGGAUAAGCUUUGGAAACGACGUCUAAUACCGGAUACUACACUGGAGGGCAUCCUCUCCGCGUGGAAAACACUUCGGUUCUGGAUGAGCUCUCGGCCUCUCAGCUUGUUGGUGAUGUAACGGCUCACCAAGGCGAGGACGGGUGGCCGGACUGAGAGGGUGACCGGCCACACAGGGACUGGGGAACGGCCCAGAGGCAAACGGGAGGAAGCGGUGGGAAUAUUGCACAACGGGCGCAAGCCUGAUGCAGCAACGCCGCGAGAGGGAAGACGGCCUUCGGGUUGUAAACAUCUUUUAGCGGGGAAGAAGAGAAAGUGACGGUACCUGAAGAAAAAGCAACGGCUAACUACGUG
rnacentral:rRNA from 1 species